rnacentral:rRNA from 1 species
UAGUGACCCGGUAGUUCUGUGUGGAAGGGCUAUCGUUCAACGGAUAAAAGGUACCCCGGGGAUAACAGGCUUAUCGCUCCCGAGCGUCCAUAGCGGCGGAGCGGUUUGGCACCUCGAUGUCGGCUCAUCGCAUCCUGGGGCUGAAGGCGGUCCCAAGGGUUGGGCUGUUCGCCCAUUAAAGCGGUACGCGAGCUGGGUUCAGACCGGCGUGAGCCAGGUCGGUCCCUAUCUGCUGUGGGCGCUGCANUAUUGACCAGAUUUCUCCCUAGUACGAGAGGAUUGGGAGGGACUCACCCCUGGUGUGCCAGCUGGACCGCUCGGUCCACCGCUGGGUAGCUAAGUGGGGCAGGGAUAACCGCUGAAAGCAUCUAAGCGGGAAGCCCUCUGGAAGAUGAGUAAUGCGCGUCUUAUGACGAGAGACCCCCGGAAGACCACCGGGUUGAUAGGCCGCACGUGCAAGGACAGAAAUGUCUUCAGCGAAGCGGUACUAAUGGUCGAGGCCUGGUCAUC